AUUUUUCAAAAAUUGUUUAUAUUUUUUCAAGGGAAAUAACUCCUUAUAAGGGUUAACAACAAAAUGAUUGUAUAUGUUUAUUAUCGUUGCCAUCUGGUCUUGUACAUGUUGCCGUUUUCAAAUCGAUUCUAUCUUGAAUACUUUUUGAGAAAAAUGUAAAAGAAAGAAAUUGAAUCAAGGGGACGUAACUCUCAUAGGGAAUAAUGAAAUCCUUAGCAGCCUCAUAUGGUAACACAUCAUGAUGAGAUCUAACUUUUGUCCAAAUAAGGUCAUGAUAUCUUUAAAAACAACGAGGGGGGGUCCAUGUCGAAAAAAAUAAAUAAAAGGGAGAUAACUUCUAAAGGGGAUGAUGAAAUCCUACACAGCCUCAUCUGGUAAUACUUCAUGAUGAGGUCUACCGAUGGUCCAUAUUUGGUCUUGAUAACUCCAAUAGAAACGAGGGGAGGCCAUGUCAAACAAAUGCUGGAUGAAAAAAAAAAAAAAAACAGGAGAAAAACAAUAAGGUCUUUCCUCGCGGAGAGGAAAGACCUUAAUUAAAUAAACAAACA
rnacentral:lncRNA from 1 species